rnacentral:rRNA from 1 species
AUUGAACGCUGGCGGCAGGCCUAACACAUGCAAGUCGAACGAGUGGCGGACGGGUGAGUAAUGUCUGGGAAACUGCCUGAUGGAGGGGGAUAACUAUUGGAAACGGUAGCUAAUACCGCAUACCAUCGGAUGUGCCCAGAUGGGUUUAGCUAGUAGGUGGGGUAAAGGCUCACCUAGGCGACGAGCCCUAGCUGGUCUGAGAGGAUGACGAGCGACACUGGAACUGGGACACGGUCCAGACUCCUACGGGAGGCAGCAGGGGGGAAUAUUGCACAAUGGGCGCAAGGCGGAUGCAGCCAUGCCGCGUGUAUGAAGGAGGCCGUCGGGUUGUAAAGUACUUACAGCGGGGAGGCGUUACCCGGAGAAGAAGCACCGGCUAACUCCGUGCCAGCAGCCGCGGUAAUAC